rnacentral:rRNA from 1 species
UGGGGAAUUUUGGACAAUGGGCGAAAGCCUGAUCCAGCAAUGCCGCGUGUGUGAAGAAGGCCUUCGGGUUGUAAAGCACUUUUGUCCGGAAAGAAAUCCUUGGCUCUAAUACAGUCAGGGGAUGACGGUACCGGAAGAAUAAGCACCGGCUAACUACGUGCCAGCAGCCGCGGUAAUACGUAGGGUGCAAGCGUUAAUCGGAAUUACUGGGCGUAAAGCGUGCGCAGGCGGUUUGCUAAGACCGAUGUGAAAUCCCCGGGCUCAACCUGGGAACUGCAUUGGUGACUGGCAGGCUAGAGUAUGGCAGAGGGGGGUAGAAUUCCACGUGUAGCAGUGAAAUGCGUAGAGAUGUGGAGGAAUACCGAUGGCGAAGGCAGCCCCCUGGGCCAAUACUGACGCUCAUGCACGAAAGCGUGGGGAGCAAAACAGGAUUAGAUACCCUGGUAGUCCACGCCCUAAAACGAUGUCAACUAGUUGUUGGGGAUUCAUUUCCUUAGUAACGUAGCUAACGCGUGAAGUUGACCGCCUGGGGAGUACGGUCGCAAGAUUAAAACUCAAAUGAAUUGACGGGGUCAUAGCUGUUUCCU